GAUGAACGCUGGCGGCGUGCCUAAUACAUGCAAGUCGAGCGAAUGGAUUAAGAGCUUGCUCUUAUGAAGUUAGCGGCGGACGGGUGAGUAACACGUGGGUAACCUGCCCAUAAGACUGGGAUAACUCCGGGAAACCGGGGCUAAUACCGGAUAACAUUUUGAACCGCAUGGUUGGAAAUUGAAAGGCGGCUUCGGCUGUCACUUAUGGAUGGACCCGCGUCGCAUUAGCUAGUUGGUGAGGUAACGGCUCACCAAGGCAACGAUGCGUAGCCGACCUGAGAGGGUGAUCGGCCACACUGGGACUGAGACACGGCCCAGACUCCUACGGGAGGCAGCAGUAGGGAAUCUUCCGCAAUGGACGAAAGUCUGACGGAGCAACGCCGCGUGAGUGAUGAAGGCUUUCGGGUCGUAAAACUCUGUUGUUAAGGAAGAACAAGUGCUAGUUGAAUAAGCUGACACCUUGACGGUACCUAACCAGAAAGCCACGGCUAACUACGUGCCAGCCGCCGCCGUAA
rnacentral:rRNA from 1 species